UCGAGAAUCUUUCGCAAUGGGCGAAAGCCUGACGAAGCGACGCUGCGUGGACGAUGAAGGCCUUCGGGUUGUAAAGUCCUUUCGCCUGGGAGCAAGAUUUGCGUCAGAAUAUGAUGUAGAUUUGAGGGUACCAGGUAAAGAAGCACCGGCUAACUCCGUGCCAGCAGCUGCGGUAAUACGGAGGGUGCAAGCAUUAAUCGGAUUUACUGGGCGUAAAGGGCGCGUAGGCGGUUUUGAAAGUCAGAUGUGAAAUUUCGGUGCUCAACGCCGAAGCUGCAUUUGAAACUCCAAGACUUGAGUAUAGACGGAGAAAACAGAAUUCCAUGUGUAGCGGUGAAAUGUGUAGAUAUAUGGAAGAAUACCAGUGGCGAAAGCGGUUUUCUAGUUUAUUACUGACGCU
rnacentral:rRNA from 1 species